rnacentral:rRNA from 1 species
UACGUAGGGUGCAAGCGUUGUCCGGAAUUACUGGGCGUAAAGAGUUCGUAGGCGGUUUGUCGCGUCGUUUGUGAAAACCAGCAGCUCAACUGCUGGCUUGCAGGCGAUACGGGCAGACUUGAGUACUGCAGGGGAGACUGGAAUUCCUGGUGUAGCGGUAAAAUGCGCAGAUAUCAGGAAGAACACCCGUGGCUAAGGCGGCUCUCUAGUACGGUACUGACGCUGAGACGCGAAAGCGUGGGGAGCGAACAGG